UACGUAGGCAGCAAGCGUUGUUCGGAGUUACUGGGCGUAAAGGGUGUGUAGGCGGUUCUUUUAAGUUUGGUGUGAAAUCUCCCGGCUCAACUGGGAGGGUGCGCCGAAAACUGGGAGGCUUGAGGAUGGGAGAGGCAUGCGGAAUUCCUGGUGGUAGCGGUGAAAUGCGUAGAUAUCAGGAGGAACACCUGCGGUGUAGACAGCAUGCUGGACCAUUCUGACGCUGAGGCACGAAAGCGUGGGUAGCAAACAGG
rnacentral:rRNA from 1 species